rnacentral:pre_miRNA from 7 species
CGUUUCGUUAUGUAGCCAAGGAUGACUUGCCGGCCGACAUAUGCCUCUCUCGUUCGUCCCUGACCGGCCGGGAAACACAUCACGCCGCAUGCAUGCAUGCAUGCAUAUGUGUGUACGUACUACGUGUGCAUGCAUGCAUGUGCUGCCGCGCGCAGCAAACUGCGAGGAAUCGUCCGUCCGGCAGGUUCUUCUCUUUGGCUACACGAUGGCCUCG